CUUUGAGGGAUAGAAUCUAGUGGACAUUUAUAAAGCAUUGAUUUUUUUUAAAGAUCACUGGCUGAACAAAUAUGGCUGGAGGUGUAGGGGAAUUUAACACAGUCCCCCAUGUUUUAUUAUAACGCCUUUAGUGACUGUCCACACCCCACUGUUGAAUAUAACCUGCAACCGUGUGCCCACCACUGGGAUGGGGGAGCAGUGCCUGGGGGUAAAUGGUUCUGUUAAAAUCUGGAUCUGAUCCGCUUGAUAACUUUCGGCCUGUCUGAAAUCUGGUUAAAACUCCGGCUCAUUCUUUUACAAAAUCAGACAUUGUUAAAUUGUAUAAGCAAUAUCCAGAAUCUGCGUCCUGCAUGGCUCCAGACUUUAGUAAAUAAUCCUAAG